rnacentral:rRNA from 1 species
AACGUAGGAGGCGAGCGUUAUCCGGAUUUACUGGGUGUAAAGCGCAUGCAGGCGGUUCGUUAAGUUGGGUGUGAAAGCUCCUGGCUCAACUGGGAGAGGUCGCUCAAGACUGACGGACUUGAGGGUGGUAGGGGAAGGCGGAAUUCCGGGUGUAGUGGUGAAAUGCGUAGAUAUCCGGAGGAACACCAGUGGCGAAGGCGGCCUUCUGGACCGCCCCUGACGCUCAGAUGCGACAGCUAGGGGAG